AUACGUAGGUGGCAAGCGUUGUCCGGAAUUAUUGGGCGUAAAGCGCGCGCAGGCGGUUCCUUAAGUCUGAUGUGAAAGCCCACGGCUCAACCGUGGAGGGUCAUUGGAAACUGGGGAACUUGAGUGCAGAAGAGGAAAGCGGAAUUCCACGUGUAGCGGUGAAAUGCGUAGAGAUGUGGAGGAACACCAGUGGCGAAGGCGGCUUUCUGGUCUGUAACUGACGCUGAGGCGCGAAAGCGUGGGGAGCAAACAGGAUUAGAUACCCUGGUAGUCCACGCCGUAAACGAUGAGUGCUAAGUGUUAGGGGGUUUCCGCCCCUUAGUGCUGCAGCUAACGCAUUAAGCACUCCGCCUGGGGAGUACGGCCGCAAGGCUGAA
rnacentral:rRNA from 1 species